UACGUAGGUGGCAAGCGUUACUCGGAAUCACUAGGCGUAAAGCGCAGGUAGGCGGUUUGGUAAGUCUUUUGUGAAAGCUCCCGGCUCAACUGGGAGAGGCCAAGGGAAACUACCAGGCUAGAGUGUGGCAGAGGAAGCUAGAAUUCCCGGUGUAGCGGUGAAAUGCGUAGAUAUCAGGAGGAACACCUGUGGCGAAAGCGGCGCACUGGACCACAACUGACGCUGAGGCGCGAAAGCUAGGGGAGCAAACAGG
rnacentral:rRNA from 1 species